GCAGCCGCGGUAAUUCCAGCUCCAAUAGCGUAUACUAAAGUUGUUGCAGUUAAAAAGCUCGUAGUUGGAUUUCUGGUGGGAGCGAUCGGUCUGACACUUUGUGUGAGUACUCGUAUUGUCUCCGGCCAUCCUUGGGCGGAGCCUGUCUGGCAUUAAGUUGUCGGGCAGGGGAUGCCCAUCGUUUACUGUGAAAAAAUUAGAGUGUUCAAAGCAGGCUUAUGCCGUUGAAUACAUUAGCAUGGAAUAAUAAGAUAGGACCUCGGUACUAUUUUGUUGGUUUGUGUGCCAAGGUAAUGAUUAAUAGGGACAGUUGGGGGUAUUCGUAUUCAGUUGUCAGAGGUGAAAUUCUUGGAUUUACGGAAGACGAACUACUGCGAAAGCAUUUACCAAGGAUGUUUUCAUUAAUCAAGAACGAAAGUUAGGGGAUCGAAGAAGAUUAGAUACCUUCGUAGUCCUAACCAUAAACUAUGCCGACUCGGGAUUGGCGGUCGUUUUUUUACCGACUCCGUCAGCACCGUAUGAGAAAUCAAAGUCUUUGGGUUCCGGGGGGAGUAUGGUCGCAAGGCUGAAACUUAAAG
rnacentral:rRNA from 14 species